CUGAGUCUCCUCCUCAAGAAAAAUCACCGCUCCUUAUGGUUCCUGGAAGUCUCCGAUCACCGCCGACGUCGUUUCCGGCGCUUCAAAGCGUCUCGGAGGCACCGCCGUCGAUUCCCGCGGACGUCUCGUCUGGCUCGAGUCUCGCCCCAAUGAAUCCGGGAGAGAGGUAUUGGUGAUGGAAGGAGAAAAAGAAGGAGGAAUUGAUAUAACACCAAAGGAGUUUGGAGUGAGGACUUUGACUCAGGAGUAUGGAGGUGGUGCUUUCCGUGUUUCUUCAUCCCACGAUCAACUUGUUGUUUUCUCCAAUUACAAAGAUCAGCGUCUCUACAAGCAACACUUUGCUAACAAAGAUUCAUCUCCA